UCCACCUCCAGCGCGCAGCCACCCUCUGCCGCGAGGCGCCGGCCCCAGCCCCGCCGCAGCGCGCCGCCCCCGCCUACCCUGCCGGCACUCCUAACCCAAUUGCCCCCCACGCCUGUGGCGUUCUACCGCCAGCGACACCCCACGCUGCGGCCGUUGCCGGCACGCAUACCCGCGGGCCUCCGUCUCUCCUGCUGCCGCCGCUGCCCCGCUCGUCCAGCGGGCCGGCCCCGUCCAUGGUGCGCAGGGGCUACCCACGCCCUCCCACGCCCGCGCGCGCCUCCUUCUGCCCUUCCGCCGCGGAUGACGCCGCGUCCUGCAGCUCCACGGAUACGUCCUCCACCCUGCCGACUUCUCUGAGCCUGAUGCGAUCCCGAUGGUGGCCGCGCCCUGCGAGAGCCCGCUGCUGCUCGGCCCGACGUCCUGCCGUGGCGAGCGCUUGUCGUCGGAGCUCUGGUCGUCGGUUCCACAUGGGGGGCGCCUAUCCCGCUGUGCACUGAUCACUUAAUUUGGCUCUCUCGAGGUGCCCGGCUCCGGCUGCGAAGAUGAUGGCGGCGCCUAGGCCACAGCAGCCACAUGGGAUGAAACUAGCAGAGAUGAAGAAGGCGGCGGUCGUUGGGAGGAGAAAGGUUGCCGGGAAGCUGGAGGACAUGCACCAGCUGCGGCUGCUCAUUUAUCUAUCUGAAUUUUCUGCAAUUCAGAUCCACCAAGGAAGAGAUGGACGAGCAUCUAUCCGAAUUGCUAUAUGAAAAUGAGAGUUACUGGUGAUAUUGACCAGAUUGGAAAUUGGGAGCUUUUCAUAUAGCAAUUCAGAUAGAUGUUCUUGCUGACUAUAUAUGAAUUGCUAUAAGUGGGGUGGGGGUGAAGAUGUUCUUGCUGUCUAUAUAUGAAAUGAAAAACCUGAUGAAGAUCCUUCCGAGGCGUCUCAGAUGUACCUCUUCUCGCACUGAACAGGGCCAUCAAUGGAGCAGUCAAAGAAGCAACACUGCAGUAGCAAAAACAAAUCAUACGUGGCACUCUCCCAGUAUGCGUGCCCAGUAUAUUUCAAAAUGGUAGUAGCUUCUUGUUCUUCAGAAAGUAAAUGUAAACAUCUGCUGUAAGAUUCCAGUACAUGUAAAGGCAACCGCUGCUAGCUUCUCUGCCACAGGUGCGAAACCAAACGUAAUCCUUUGCCGAAAACAAUUGUACUAAGCAGUAACACAAUCACCUUUAGGUAGGGGUGAAGGCAGCAGUCAAUGGGUCAUCUCCAUACUCCAGGUUCAGCACUAAUUACUGUUUGAUUAGUGUGGUAUUGCCGAAAACAAUAGUACCAAGCACUAACACAAUCGCCUGAGUAUAUUACAUGGGUAUAGCACUGAUUACUAUUUGACUAGCAUCAGGUUUUGAAUGUAAGACAUUCAAAGUCGGGCUGUGAACUCAUUGGGGUCGUUUCUUAUCAUCAAUGGGGACUGCAUGUUUUGAACAGACCAUUUUUAUCCCAUAUCCAAUAGUUCUGAUGGCAAAUAGACACUGCUUUACUUUAACUUUUUUGUAUGGAGGUGUCCUUUUAGUAAGUUAGGAAAUUGAAAGUGGUAUGUUGCUGUUGCAUUUCUAACACUAAAAGUUGUACUUGAUAAUGAUACCAGGUGGCAUCUUGAGUAUGUGUUAUUUUCUUGAAAUAAUCACCAUUGUUUUGUCACUUGGUCUUUAUCUUAAAAGAUGGAGUACAUAUUGGCAUACACUAGAACAUAGUAACAGGCUUGACGAUCAAAACAUCUGUAUUAGCUAAAACCAGAUGGACAGUGAGUUUAUAUAAAAAAGAAUUGUAUCCCCAUCUGCUUCUCCUGUUCAUUGUAUCCACAGAUUCGGUAAAUCAGCGUAUUGUCUGCUUCUCAUGUCCAGACUUGGUAGUUCACAUCAUACUUGCCAGCUGUGUAUAACUGACUGCUAUUUGAUAGCCCCGUUUACAUGAUAGAUGAGGCAAGGGCCAAGGAGAGGGGAAUUGAGGACCAGAAAGCAUAGGAACAGAUUUUGCCGCAUCAGCCGAGACGAUAACCAAUGGAUAAAAACAGAAAAGAGGGAAAAGAAGCGGAGGAUAAAGAGUUGACCAAUGAUCCAAUCCGUCUUCACUUCAAGGGUAACCUUGUACUUAAUCCUAAGAUCAUAGGUUGAUGUUUGGAUUGAGAAUUACUGUCCGGUUAAGGCAACUGCUAAUUAUAAUCUGAAUACAAAGGUUUUAAAAUCAAAACUAGGUAUAAACAGUUUAGAAUUUGAUAUAGCAGUAAAAGCAAAGUUGUAGAGCAUCUGAAGGAGGCAGUAGUCUGUACUCCCUCCGUCCCACAAUGUAAGAAUAUUUUACAAGCAAGGCAGUAGACAGUACUAC